AUUACACCUUAAGCCUAUUGAAAAUAUGUUAUUCGUUGAAUUUGAAUUUGUGGUUCACCUGUACCCACUAAACCCACAAAAAUUGGUAUCCGAUGGAUAAUAAUGAAUCAACAGCAAGGGAAAUACAAAAAAACUACUAAUGCACAAUGUAAACAUAGAAAUACAUAAUAAAUAAAGAGCAGAGAUGACAAAGCAGAAAGAAACAGAUCAAAACAAGUUAGGAAGGAACACACUGAAAAUUAAGUAGGAAUAUGCAAAUUAACACAUUUUAAGAACACAACUGAAAAAGGGUUGAAUACAUUAAGAAUGCAUAAAAAAAAAUCUGAAUAUGUAAAUGAAGUAGAUAGGAACACACAAAGAAAAAGACCAC
rnacentral:lncRNA from 1 species